UACAGAGGUCCCAAGCGUUGUUCGGAUUCACUGGGCGUAAAGGGUGCGUAGGUGGCAGGGUAAGUUUGAUGUGAAAUCUCCGAGCUCAACUCGGAAAUUGCAUUGAAUACUAUCCUGCUUGAGGAUUGGAGGGGAGACUGGAAUUCUCGGUGUAGCGGUGAAAUGCGUAGAUAUCUGGAGGAAUACCGGUGGCGAAGGCGGCAUCCUGGACCGGCAUUGACGCUGAGGAGCGAAAGCCAGGGGAGCAAACGGG
rnacentral:rRNA from 1 species